rnacentral:misc_RNA from 1 species
AAGUCGUAACAAGGUUUCCGUAGGUGAACCUGCGGAAGGAUCAUUACUGAGUUAGGGUCUCUAUGGCCCGAACCUCCAACCCUUGUGUUUAAUAUACCACGUUGCUUCGGCGGGCCCGUCUUCACAGACCGCCGGAGGGUGUCAAACCCCUCUGGCCCGUGCUCGUCGAUAGCCUCCCAACCAAAACUCUUGUAUAACCAUGAUUGUCUGAGUCUAAAAGUUAAUUAAAUUAAAACUUUCAACAACGGAUCUCUUGGUUCUG